CAGCGGAUCAUGACACAGCCCAUCGUACUCGCUCGCUCGCUUUUUCUCUUGGAAACCUUAAUUUCCAGUCUUCUUAUUGGUUCCUUCUGUGGUGCUUUUGAUUUGAUACGGGCGGGUGUUGGUGAUCUUGUUGCAGAAUCUAAUUUUCAGGCUCCUCCAAAGCAAAGUUCGCAUCUAAAUGUGGCUUUACGAGCAGAAGGAUUUGAGGAUUGAGGGGCGCAUCAUUGGUUUUGAUGAAUACAUGAACUUGGUCUAGGAUGAAGCUGAAGAACUCAAUGUCAACAGAAAACAAAGAAAAGCCAGAGAACCAUUGGGUUAGUCAUGUUAUUUGAUACUUUUGAUUUGUUGCUCUGUGUGUUCUCUGUUCCUUUUUAUUUGUCCAUCAGACCUAUGCUUCUUUAUAGGGAGAAUUCUGUUGAAAGGUGACAACA